rnacentral:rRNA from 1 species
GAUGAACGCUGGCGGCGUGCCUAAUACAUGCAAGUCGAGCGAACAGACGAGGAGCUUGCUCCUCUGACGUUAGCGGCGGACGGGUGAGUAACACGUGGAUAACCUGCAUAUAAGACUGGGAUAGCUUCGGGAAACCGGAGCUAAUACCGGAUAAGAUAUUGAACCGCAUGGUUCAAUAGUGAAAGACGGUUUUGCUGUCACGUAUAGAUGGAUCCGCGCCGCAUUAGCUAGUUGGUAAGGUAACGGCUUACCAAGGCAACGAUGCGUAGCCGACCUGAGAGGGCGACCGGCCACACUGGGACUGAGACACGGUCCAGACUCCUACGGGAGGCAGCAGUAGGGAAUCUUCCGCAAUGGGCGAAAGCCUGACGGAGCAACGCCGCGUGAGUGAUGAAGGUCUUCGGAUCGUAAAGCUCUGUUAUCAGGGACGAACAAAUGUGUAAGUAACUAUGCACGUCUUGACGGUACCUAAUCAGAAAGCCACGGCUAACUACGUG